GGAGGAUGGGGGAGGCGUGUGGAACAGAACAGCUGUCCACCGGCGUUGGAGGCUCGGCCUCUCAUUUUGUUCGCGUAUCUGUCUCAGGCGGUGUUCCCGAAAGCAGACCCUGAGAUGAGAACGCAGGUAGAAGUGACUUAUUAGGGGGAGAUUCUUCAGCGAAUGUCUCCUCCUGGAAACACUGGGAGGAGAGUGGGGAAGCGGGGCGACGCAGUGAGCAGGCAACACCGAGCCCGAGGGCAAGUCCGGCUCCAUCCCGCCGGGGACAGCGCGUGUUCCACUACGGAGUGUCUCCGUCAGGGACAAAGCUGUCCUUGGUCAAGGUGGCCCCAAGAGGAUGCCCUGCACUCGGCAAAGUAGGCUUGGCAACCCGAGACCCGUCUUCAGGUGCCGGAGGUGCUGGGGCACGCAGACAGGCAGCCUUAUCCAACAGUACCAAAAAUCGGGAAAGAAGAACAAAACAAAGAACGGAGAAAAGGCUGGAUAGCUUUGCGGCAACAGAGCUCAGCCCACGCCCCCCCUCUCACCGCAGCCCACGUAUGGGACGGGCCUGCAGAGGUGAAGAUCUACUCAUCAGCAGUGUGAGCUUAGGAACUGUUAACCCAUCUAAGGCAUGGCUUUCUCAUCCAGAAAGUGGCGGUGAUCACAUCAACCUCGCCAGACCGCUGUGAAAAGCCAAGCCGCAGCCAUCGUGCACUGCCUUCGCCAUUCCCGCCCCCCAGGUUCUCUGCCACUGGCCAAGCGGCUUGGCCCACGGAAGGCCCUGGCAAAAGCAGAGAGCUCCAAGGAAGAGGCCCGGGGACUCUCCUCGCUUGGGCGUCCUGUCUCCGUCUACAGCGGGACCCAUUGGCACCUCAGCUCUCAGUGAGGCCCGGUUCCCUUCUUUAACCUUUUUGGGCCUCAGUGCUAACAGCUGCCGCUGGGGCUCCUCUGGGGGGCCGCCGUCAGCAGGUUUCAGGGCUCCAUUUACCCUGUCCCGGGGAUCUGCGAUCGGCCCCCUCAUCAAGUCUUGUCAAAGGAGACCACCAGGGAGGAUUCUUUUUCUCACCUAACCUGGGGUGAUACUCUCCUGGAUUAUUAUGAUCCACUCCUGGCUGACUGUUUCUUAAACACGUUUUAAAAAUCGAAAUGAUUUGUCUUAGAGGAAUAUUAUGUCUCCAUGUCAUUGUGAACCCGAUAUGCUGGUUGUCACCUUUCUAACACACAUUAAAAUAAAUCCAUGACUUGAAAAAAGAAACGUGCUUGCUGUGUCCCACCUAAAAUCACCUCUGGUACCCCCGUGCUCUGUCGAGCCCCUUUGCACAGGACUGAGUCGCUGUGGAGUGAAGCUCUCUGCUCAGAACACAUGCUUUCUUUCCCAAUGCCGUCCUUGAAAUUAGGAACCACGCUGCCACAUGGCAGCAGCUGCGGAUGGGGCACAGGCACGCCGUGCAGGAACGUCUUC
rnacentral:lncRNA from 1 species